UAGUCAUAUGCUUGUCUAAAGGACUAAGCCAUGCAUGUCUAAGUAUAAGCAAUUAUACUUGUGAAACUGCGAAUGGCUCAUUAAAUCAGUUAUAGUUUAUUUGAUAUUUUCUUGCUACAUGGAUACCGGUGGCAAAGUACCGCUAAUACAUGCAAACAAUCCCUUCUGGGGAUGUAUUUAUUAGAUACGCAAACCAACCUGGGCAACCAGAGUAUGCUGACUCAUAAUAACUUCACGAAUCGCAUGGCCUUGUGCUGGCGAUGAAUCAUUCAAAUUU
rnacentral:rRNA from 1 species